rnacentral:rRNA from 1 species
AGAGUUGUUAUGGCUCAGGAUGAACGCUGGCGGCGUGCUUAACACAUGCAAGUCGAACGGAGCUUAGAAGGAAGCUUGCUUUCAUUUAAGCUUAGUGGCGGACGGGUGAGUAACGCGUGAGCAACCUGCCCUCGAGUGGGGAAUAACAUCGAGAAAUCGGUGCUAAUACCGCAUAAUGUCGAGAGACCGCAUGAUCUUUCGACCAAAGGAUUUAUUCGCUUGAGGAUGGGCUCGCGUCCGAUUAGCUAGUUGGUGAGGUAACGGCCCACCAAGGCUUCGAUCGGUAGCCGAACUGAGAGGUUGAUCGGCCACAUUGGGACUGAGACACGGCCCAGACUCCUACGGGAGGCAGCAGUGGGGAAUAUUGGGCAAUGGGCGAAAGCCCUGACCCAGCAACGCCGCGUGAAGGAUGAAGGUCUUCGGAUUGUAAACUUCUUUGAUUGGGGAAGAAUAAAUGACCUACCCAAAGAACAAGCCACGGCUAACUACGUGCCAGCCGCCGC